ACCAUUCUUUCAGUGCAAAGAGUUAGUAAGUCGAUCGAGCAACAAGCAGUAAGAACCAAAAUGAGAGGGAGCGGCCGGAUACACAUGAUGGCCAUCUUAUUCAUGGGAUGGCUUGCGGUGACUGCACAGUGUCGCCUCGAGGCCGGAAGGAGCUAUCUAGACGACGGCCGUAAUGCUACCGUGGCCAACUCGGUAUCGCUAGAUGAUGGCAGCAAGAUUACCCUGCAAUUUUGUGUCAAUCGGCCAUGUGAGUUUCGCGAACACUGCUACUGCUGCAACACCCUCAAGACAGAGCCGUGCUUCAUGUCGCUGGAGGAGUGCCAGGCUAGUUGCCCUGCCUGCAAUGGCACGUGCCCGCCGCCUCAACCGACGAGAUAGAAUUACAUGCAUCAAUCAAUAAUGGGUUCUCAUCCCUAAAGAAAAAAAAAUCUCGUGCUAGACUUAAUCAAAUAGUAAUUUGUUUUUGUGGGAUCGACA